GACGAACGCUGGCGGCGUGCCUAAUACAUGCAAGUUGAGCGAUGAAGAUUGGUGCUUGCACCAAUUUGAAGAGCAGCGAACGGGUGAGUAACGCGUGGGGAAUCUGCCUUUGAGCGGGGGACAACAUUUGGAAACGAAUGCUAAUACCGCAUAACAACUUUAAACAUAAGUUUUAAGUUUGAAAGAUGCAAUUGCAUCACUCAAAGAUGAUCCCGCGUUGUAUUAGCUAGUUGGUGAGGUAAAGGCUCACCAAGGCGAUGAUACAUAGCCGACCUGAGAGGGUGGUCGGCCACAAUGGGACUGAGACACGGCCCAAACUCCUACGGGAGGCAGCAGUAGGGAAUCUUCGGCAAUGGACGAAAGUCUGACCGAGCAACGCCGCGUGAGUGAAGAAGGUUUUCGGAUCGUAAAACUCUGUUGGUAGAGAAGAACGUUGGUGGGAGUGGAAAGCUCAUCAAGUGACGGUAACUACCCAGAAAGGGACGGCUAACUACGUG
rnacentral:rRNA from 1 species